GCUUGUCUCAAAGAUUAAGCCAUGCAUGUCUCAGUAUAAGCUUGUGCAUAGUGAAACUGCGAACGGCUCAUUAUAACAGUUAUAAUUUGUUUGGUGUUCAAGUUUACAUGGGUAACUGUGGCAAUUCUAGAGCUAAUACAUGCAUUCAAGCCCCGACUUCUGGAAGGGGUGUAUUUAUUAGAUAAAAAUCAACUUUGUUGGUGAAUCAUAAUAACUUCUCGGACCGCAUGGCCUCGUGCUGGCGGUGCUUCAUUCAAAUAUCUGCCCUAUCAACUGUCGAUGGUAGGAUAGAGGCCUACCAUGGUUGCAACGGGUAACGGGGAAUAAGGGUUCGAUUCCGGAGAGGGAGCCUGAGAAACGGCUACCACAUCCAAGGAAGGCAGCAGG
rnacentral:rRNA from 1 species